rnacentral:lncRNA from 1 species
GAACAUCCUUCAGCUUCCCUCCAGCAAGGCCCUGGGGUGGGUUAGCCCCUGCUCAGGGCAGGGUGCUGGAUUGUGCUUUUCCACUCUGGAAUGCUGCAGACAAUCUCCUUUUGUCCUGUUGGUUCUAAAUCCUUUGAGCAGCAGCACGUUGUGAACAUCCUUUUCCAACACAGGUGUGUUUUCACUGCCAGUUCCUGACCUAAGGCGGGCAGUUUUGCCACCUGCCUUGGGCUGCCGACAUAAGCUGGGAUGAAUCUUCCCAGCUGCCACUCCACAGGAAAACUAGAUUAUUGCAUAGGAAAAAUAAAAAUUUAUGAAGCCCCGAGGGCAUGAAGGAGGAUGGAAUGAGGACAAACUGCAAAGCCAUGGACACUGGAGGGAAUUCAAAACCCAAACUGGAAGCAUGGGAAAUGAGCAGUCACUCUGUUUUUCCUCUGGCCACAAUUCCUCAGUUACAUCGGGUUCAAAGAUCCUGCUCUUGUCUCAUUUUGGAAGCUGAACCAUCCUAAAUGUAUCUUGGUCCUGCAGAAAAUCCCCAGAGGAAAGCAAAGGCUCGAGGAGCAGAGCUGUGUCUGAGCAGGAAGAGGGAUUCAUCUCACCCAACCUUUAUGUAUCCAAACCAGAACCAAGAAAUCCCAAACAAAACACAAGAAAUUGUCUGAAUUUGGAGAGUUCAUUUUAAAACUGCUAAAGUGAGAGGAAGAAAAGAAAAUGAGUGGUCUCUAACUGGUCUCUAAAUAAAAUCCUUCUUCCCUUUCA